CUCUGCCCCGGGUGCGUCGCAGCCCCGGACCAAGGCGCCCGCCGGAGGACCAACCAAAACUCUUUUUGUAUACCCCCUCGCGGGUUUUUUAUAAUCUGAGCCUUCUCGGCGCCUCUCGUAGGCGUUUCGAAAAUGAAUCAAAACUUUCAACAACGGAUCUCUUGGUUCUGGCAUC
rnacentral:rRNA from 1 species